AGUAAUGUCUGGGAAACUGCCUGAUGGAGGGGGGUAACUACUGGAAACGGUAGCUAAUACCGCAUAACGUCGCAAGACCAAAGUGGGGGACCGUUCGGGCCUCAUGCCAUCAGAUGUGCCCAGAUGGGAUUAGCUAGUAGGUGGGGUAACGGCUCACCUAGGCGACGAUCCCUAGCUGGUCUGAGAGGAUGACCAGCCACACUGGAACUGAGACACGGUCCAG
rnacentral:rRNA from 1 species